rnacentral:rRNA from 1 species
CGUGUAGGCGGCUCGUUAAGUGUGAAGUGAAAUCCCCAGGGCUCAACCCGGGAACUGCUUUACAUACUGGCGGGCUGGAGGAUUGGAGAGGCUUGUGGAAUUCCUGGUGUAGCGGUGAAAUGCGUUGAUAUCAGGAGGAACACCCAUGGCGAAGGCAGCAAGCUGGCCAAUUUCUGACGCUGAGGCGCGAAAGCGUGGGUAGCAAACAGGAUUAGAUACCCUGGUAGUCCACGCCCUAAACGAUGGAUGCUAGGCGUGAGGGGUAUCGACCCCCCUCGUGCCGCAGCUAACGCACUAAGCAUCCCGCCUGGGGACUACGGCCGCAAGGUUGAA